UGAUCCUGGCUCAGAUUGAACGCUGGCGGCAGGCCUAACACAUGCAAGUCGAACGGUAGCAUAUCUUGCUUGCAAGAUGAUGACGAGUGGCGGACGGGUGAGUAAUACUUAGGAACAUGCCUUUGAGUGGGGGAUAACUAUUGGAAACGAUAGCUAAUACCGCAUAACGUCUACGGACCAAAGGGGGCUUCGGCUCUCGCUCAGAGAGUGGCCUAAGCGAGAUUAGCUAGUUGGUGAGGUAAAGGCUCACCAAGGCGACGAUCUCUAGCUGUUCUGAGAGGAAGAUCAGCCACACUGGGACUGAGACACGGCCCAGACUCCUACGGGAGGCAGCAGUGGGGAAUAUUGCACAAUGGGGGGAACCCUGAUGCAGCCAUGCCGCGUGUGUGAAGAAGGCCUUCGGGUUGUAAAGCACUUUCAGUUGUGAGGAAAGGUUAGUAGUUAAUACCUGCUAGCUGUGACGUUAGCAACAGAAGAAGCACCGGCUAACUCCGUGCCAGCAGCCGCGGUAAUACGGAGGGUGCGAGCGUUAAUCGGAAUUACUGGGCGUAAAGCGCACGCAGGUGGUUUGUUAAGCUAGAUGUGAAAGCCCAGGGCUCAACCUUGGAAUAGCAUUUAGAACUGGCAGGCUAGAGUCUUGGAGAGGGGAGUGGAAUUCCAGGUGUAGCGGUGAAAUGCGUAGAGAUCUGGAGGAACAUCAGUGGCGAAGGCGACUCCCUGGCCAAAGACUGACACUCAUGUGCGAAAGUGUGGGUAGCGAACAGGAUUAGAUACCCUGGUAGU
rnacentral:rRNA from 1 species